rnacentral:rRNA from 1 species
UUGAACGCUGGCGGCAGGCCUCACACAUGCCAGUCGAGCGGAUGAAGGGAGCUUGCUCCUGGAUUCAGCGGCGGACGGGUGAGUAAUGCCUAGGAAUCUGCCUGGUAGUGGGGGAUAACGUCCGGAAACGGGCGCUAAUACCGCAUACGUCCUGAGGGAGAAAGUGGGGGAUCUUCGGACCUCACGCUAUCAGAUGAGCCUAGGUCGGAUUAGCUAGUUGGUGGGGUAAAGGCCUACCAAGGCGACGAUCCGUAACUGGUCUGAGAGGAUGAUCAGUCACACUGGAACUGAGACACGGUCCAGACUCCUACGGGAGGCAGCAGUGGGGAAUAUUGGACAAUGGGCGAAAGCCUGAUCCAGCCAUGCCGCGUGUGUGAAGAAGGUCUUCGGAUUGUAAAGCACUUUAAGUUGGGAGGAAGGGCAGUAAGUUAAUACCUUGCUGUUUUGACGUUACCAACAGAAUAAGCACCGGCUAACUUCGUG